rnacentral:rRNA from 1 species
CAGUAGCCGCGGUAAUACGUAGGUGGCAAGCGUUGUCCGGAAUUAUUGGGCGUAAAGGGCUCGCAGGCGGUUUCUUAAGUCUGAUGUGAAAGCCCCCGGCUCAACCGGGGAGGGUCAUUGGAAACUGGGAAACUUGAGUGCAGAAGAGGAGAGUGGAAUUCCACGUGUAGCGGUGAAAUGCGUAGUGAUGUGGAGGAACACCAGUGGCGAAGGCGACUCUCUGGUCUGUAACUGACGCUGAGGAGCGAAAGCGUGGGGAGCGAACAGGAUUAGAUACCCCGGUAGUCCCUGUCUCUUAUAC